rnacentral:misc_RNA from 1 species
GGAAGGAUCAUUAUCACGUUAUCCACGUUAUUACCAACCGUGAACUGUUCGGUCCGUAUGAGAGGUUCAUUCUUCUUGUGCGUUAGACCAAAACCCCAUUUGAAGUUUUUUCAACUUCUUUUGGGUGAUUUGAACCAUUAACCAAUUGAACCAAUUUUUAUACUUUAUGUACUUACUAUUUGUUGUUUCUUACCUUUUUAACGAAGGAAGAAAUGUUAUAAAAAAUACGUAACAUGAAAAAAAAGAACAACUCUUAGCAACGGAUAUCUAGGUUCUCGUAACGAUGAAGAACGCAGCGAAAUGCGAUACGUAAUGCGAAUUGCAGAAUUCAGUGAAUCAUCAAAUCUUUGAACGCAAAUUGCGCUCUCGGGAUAGGCCCGGGAGCAUGUUUCUUUGAGUAUCGUUUUCUUCUCUUCUCAAUUUCCCUCUGUUGAAAAAUAGAGUGUUGAAUUGGAUAAUGAGUUGUCUCACUCGAACAAGUGAGUCACUUUAAGAAACGAUAAGUUUCAAACCUUUCUUUAGUGUAUGUUUUUUCUUAGUUGAAAGAACGCCACGUACAUUUGGCCCUCACUAUUGAUGUGGAUAAUUUAUUUCUUACAUCAACUCCAGUGUUGUUUUGGCUAUGUAUGUUUUUGGUUAAGCACAUACAAAGAAUAACUUGAACUUAGUGGAAAUUUUCAAUAUAUACUAAUACUAUAUAUGAAUUUGAAUUAGAUCUCAAAUGAAGCAAGAUAACCCGCUGAACUUAAGCAUAUUAUUAAGCGGAGGAAAAGAAACUAACAAGGAUGCCCUCAGUAACGGCGAGUGAAGCGGGCAAAGCUCAACCUGAAAAUCUGGUUCCUUAGCGGGAAUCCGAAUUGUGGGCUAGCAGACGUAUGAUCAGUGUGUGACCCAGGUAUAAGUCUUUUGAAACAAGGUAUCGGAGAGGGUGAGAAUCCCGUCUUUGACCUGGAGUAUAUCGCCGCGUACGAUCUACGUUCGUAGAGUCGAGUUGUUUGGGAUUGCAGCUCUAAAUGGGUGGUAAGUUUCAUCUAAAGCUAAAUAUCGACGAGAGACCGAUAGCGAACAAGUACCGUGAGGGAAAGAUGAAAAGAACUUUGAAAAGAGAGUUAAAAAGUACUUGAAAUUGCUAAGAGGGAAGCACUGGAAACCAGUCGAUGGCUUACAUGUAUUUUAACUUCGGCUUCCGGAUCCGUCGCAGCAGUAGGGAGCCCAAAGCCCCUUUGCAGUACGGUGUAAGGUGCCUUUGUGUCAUGUACGGUAGGUCGGGUCAGAAUCAAUUUGGCACUGUGAGAGAAAGCUAUGACAACGGUAGGUUCGCGGGGGCAACUCUAAGGACUGUUUAGUGUCGUAGUGCUAUCAUGGGCUAGAUUGAGGUACAAUUCGAAGUGCGCACCAUAGGGUUAUCGAGUCUUACUUUCCUGGGUUCUCAGAGAGCUUGGACAACAAAGUUGUGCGGUUCUCAAAGGUUCCUACUGAUUGUUCUGACUUAGACGCAGCACUCGUGAUUCUGACGAAAUGGUUUUCAUUGACCCGUCUUGAAACACGGACCAAGGAGUCUAACAUAUAUGCGAGUAUUUGGGCCUGGAAACCCUUAUGCGUAAUGAAAGUGAAGAUAGACUUGUUCUAUUGAGGUAGGAACCUGGGGCCUCGGCCCUAGGGGCACUAUCGACCGAUCGGUCACUUGUGGCAGAUUUGAGUAAGAGCAUAUCUGUUGGGACCCGAAAGAUGGUGAUCUAUGCCUGAACAGGGCGAAGCCAGGGGAAACUCUGGUGGAGGCUCGUAGCGAUACUGACGUGCAAAUCGUUCGUCUGAUUUGGGUAUAGGGGCGAAAGACUAAUCGAACCAUCUAGUAGCUGGUUCCCUC